GCACAAGGUUGAGUGGCCCAAUUCUACGUUUUUCCCUCAAACGGGGUUGAGUGGGACGAUGGAGGUCUCAUGGUUGCGUGGGCUAGCUCGACAAAUGAGCACUUUAAAACUUGGGCCAUGGCUCGAUACUAUAUGCAUAUUUUAAAAUGUAAGACGCACCUUUCUGAAGAAAAAUGGUGUAGUAGUAAUCUAAUACUUCCUUUCCCGCCCAAAACAAACUGAACGUAACGGUGCCAAACAGACAAGCGGAAACGCCUGAAACCGCCGCGACAAACGCUGCUUAAGUGCUCGUCAUCAUUUCAGCACCUUAGCCAAAAAAAUAAAGCAGCGUUUUCCAUUUCUUCUUUCUAGAGAAAGGGGUAAAUGGAAGUUAAUGAACAGGCUAGAUGUAGAGAGUUGGCAAAGUCGUCCUCAUUUACCACGCAGUAUACUCAGAGAGAGAACAGGUUGGAUGGGAGUAUUUGGUGAGGUUGCGAGGAGAUCUAACUUUCCUGAGCUUUCAUGUUUUGUAAGUAUCUUUCAUUUUUCCAGAAACCAAUAGUAUCUUGAUUAUGUUAACAUGUUGAUGAUAAUCCAAUGUUACGUAAUGAACCUGCAAUAUAUAUGUAGCUGAUGUCUUUAAUUAUUCUUACAAUAUCAAUUGCUAGCUGUUUUGUACUCCUUCAUAGUUGUACAUGUUAUAAUCAUGUAUUUUUGUAUCUUUAAUAUAUUCUUGACACACCGGCCGCUAUAUUGAAGUCUUGGAUAUAUUUCUCAACUUGACAAUGUAUUCCUAUCUUUGGAACUUCAAUAUAUUUGUCAAUAUUGUUAUUGUAAGCAUUGAUCUAGCUCUCCUUUUAUAUUUCAUGCUCUAUCCUAUUUAUUAAUAGUUGCUUAUCCUUUUUGGUGCUAGAGAUAAGAAGGGAAGUGUGCAUAUUAGCGAAAUUCAGUUGGAUAUAGCCUAUCCUAGAGUUCCACCAAUGGUUUCAGCAGUUUGUCUCCUAUCUUUUUUGGUCCUAAUUCUUCCAAUGAAGGCCUAGAUGUCUUUUAUACUUUGUUCUGUCCUCAGGACGUCUCCUAUACUUCAAUUUAGAAUGGUCAACGAACUCAAGACUGAAAAACUUGGUAGAACAGUUUCAAGGAGUAUUUGUUUCAACAGUUCUGAACGCCAUAUAGUUCCAUUGAACUUAAAAUCUCUUUGUUGUGCAAUGGCAUAUUUUACUCUUUGGUAGUACUUGGGAGUUUUCACUUUGUAUCCAGCAUCUAGGGAAGCUUCAAGGAUUCUGGUCUACUUUGGAUGAGAUUGACAGGUCUCUUUGGGUUGUUGAUUCAAAGCACACAUUUCGUGCCAUGUCUUGUCACCCAAUUUACAUACGUGAGCCAUUACUUCAUCGCACAACGUCUUAUGUAUAUUAAUUUGUUCUUUCCCCUUCUGUUAUUAUUCAACGCCUUCAUAUGUGUUCAAUUAUUUGCUUCUCAGGAAAUGAUAGCAUCGUCAUGUUGUCCAUUAAUAUCAAUGACCCUAGAUCAUUUCCGGAUUGGUGUCGUUUUAUGGGUUCAGGUACUAUUUUGAACUCUUUGAGAAAGACAUGGAAAAGAAAUAGCAGUAAAUGGUAUGCCCUUGAGUCUCAUCUUAGAUUUUAACUUUCACACUUGUUAAAUAAGGUGUGGUUAAGAGAGGAGGAAAAAAAAUACAGAUAUACUUGCUUAAUUUUCUGCAUGCAAUUGGUUAAUUCCUUAUCUAGUACAAACUAUGGCUCAAUUAGAUUCUUGAAGGCUUCAGCUAAUUUUGAUAUUAAGAGGAUGGGACCUUAUAAAUCAUUGUGGACGAGGAAUAGGCUUCAUUCCAUUGUAGUAAUUUAUAUUUCUUGUGUUUUAAGGAAAGAGUGAGCUAUUCCUUUUCUGUCCCUCUAAGGACUGUAAUUAUAGAAUUACUGAACCUCUUAUAAAGCAGUUAUUCUUUUGAUAAAAAGUGUAUUUAAUAUGAUGUACUUAUUUUAUAUUUACUUAGUCUGAUUGUAUAGAAUGAGGAAUAAACCCUUAUUGGAAAAUCUUUAGUGUCUUCUGGAGACCCAACUGCCAAGGCCCCCUGAUGAAGAGAAGAACAAUCAUCUAAUUGAAUGUGGAAUCUCUUAUGCUCAGUAUCUCUCCAUUGGUAAUGCUUUAGAUGCUUCUCAACUAUUGUUUAUAGACUUAACUCUAAAAUGUUCAUGUUGGUGAUGAGCUUGGAUCUAAUAGUGGAAGUGCAACUGAUUAAACUAGUGAGAAUAAAAGUUGCAGUAAGGCUUUCCACAGCAUGUGCGUAGUGGACUGGUUGCUCUCUAUCACAAUGACAAGGCAAUCAUUCAAUGUUCAUUUUGGGCAUUACCCGUGCUGUUCAGAGCCAGUUGCAGUCAAAAUCAAUAGCACAAAGAAUUAGAAAUCUUAUUAGUUCUAAUCAAAGAUCCCAAGCUUAGGCAGCGAAAUCAAGAGUCAUAUGACUAAUUCACAGUGGGGAUUCUUUUAUGGGAAUUGAGUCAUGUUUUGGAGAACAAUUUCCAUCUCCGCACUUCAUUUUUUUGAAAGCAUGUUAAAAUCUGAUUGAAUGGAAUGGAGUUGCAGAAGAUAUUGCUGCUAUGCUGCUGCUUCACAAGAUGGUCCCUGCUCUCUAGUUUUAAUUUGCUGCCCCGUGGCAUUUGAUUGGGGUCGUAUCAUGAUUUAUGCCUGUUAAGCCCUAGACUUGUAAAUCCUAGUAAAUACACCUAAAAAAUGAAGAUAGUUGGCUCUGCACAAGUUGUUUAUUUAUUUAUGGAUGUUAGCAGCUCACAUGGAUUACAACUCCUUGAUUGAAUGACCAAAAUGCAGGGCAUCAAACUAUGAAAUUAAGUCACCAAAAAAAUUAAGCCAAUGGCACUGGAUGUUCACGUUUUCGUUCUUG